rnacentral:rRNA from 1 species
UACGUAGGCAGCAAGCGUUGUUCGGAGUUACUGGGCGUAAAGGGUGCGUAGGCGGCUUCUUAAGUCUGGUGUGAAAUCCUCCCGGCUCAACUGGGAGGGUGCGCCGGAUACUGAGGGGCUAGAGUGUGGGAGAGGAAAGUGGAAUUCCUGGUGUAGCGGUGAAAUGCGUAGAUAUCAGGAGGAACACCGGUGGUGUAAACGGCUUUCUGGACCAUAACUGACGCUGAGGCACGAAAGCGUGGGUAGCAAACAGG